GACGAACGCUGGCGGCGUGCCUAAUACAUGCAAGUCGAGCGGAAUGAUGAAGAAGCUUGCUUCUUCUGAUUUUGCGGCGGACGGUGAGUAACACGUGGGCAACCUACCUUGUAGAUUGGGAUAACUCCGGGAAACCGGGCUAAUACCGCGUAAUAUCUUUUAAUUAAUUUAUUAGAUCAAAGGUGACUUCGGUUGCCGCCAGCAGAUGGGCCCGCGUUCUAUUAGUUUGUUGGUAGGGUUAACGGCCUACCAAGGCUGAGAUGGGUAGCUGGUCUGAGAGGUUGAUCGGCCACACUGGAACUGAGACACGGUCCAGACCCCUACCGGGAGGCAGCAGUCGGGAAUUUUGCGCAAUGGGCGAAAGCCUGACGCAGCGACACCGCGUGGGGAAGAAGGCCCUCGGGUUGUAAACCCCUUUCGUGAGGGAAAAAGUCUCGGGCAACCGGGAUGAUGGUACCUCAGGAAGAAGCCACGGCUAACUCUGUG
rnacentral:rRNA from 1 species